CGGCGGACGGGUGAGUAACGCGUAGGAAUCUACCUGGUAGUGGGGGACAACUCGAGGAAACCCGAGCUAAUACCGCAUACGCCCCAAGGGGGAAAGCGGGGGAUCUUCGGACCUCGCGCUAUUGGAUGAGCCUGCGUAGGAUUAGCUCGUUGGUGAGGUAAAGGCUCACCAAGGCGACGAUCCUUAGCUGGUCUGAGAGGAUGAUCAGCCACACUGGGACUGAGACACGGCCCAG
rnacentral:rRNA from 1 species